UCUUUAGUAAUUGCGAAUGAACAAGGAUAUGCUUAGCUUGACAAAUGGAGCUAUUGGCUUUGAAUUGUAUUGUGGAAAUGUAUUACCAACAGAGGUGCAGGUGCCAGCCUAUUGAAAUAAAGCGUCAAUGAGGGUGAGAAUCCUGUUUGUCAUGUGCAGCCCUUUGUGCACGGUGUAUAUUUGCUGAGUCACACUCCUUGGCAUUGGAAUGCAAAGUGGGUGGUAAGUUUCAUGUAAAGGUAAACAUGCAAUUGAGACUGAUAGCACACAAGUACCAUGAGGGAAAUAUGAAAAGGACUUUGAAAAGAGAAUUAAAUGAGUUUGUAUUUGCUGAACACAAAGUAAACAGACUUGAUUUGCUUGGUGGGAGUGUUGCACUUGCUUGACAAGAGCUUUGGGCUGUGGGUGUAAUGAUUCUUUCUUUGCAUGCCAGUUUCUAUUUGUACAUCUGAUUACCUUUGCACAUGAAUGAUAAGUCUCCUGUGGGGGGUGGAUUGCAUGUGCAUGUAAUGAUUUGUGUUUUGAUAAAUGUGUCUGGUGUAUGUGUGUGUUCCUGUGCUUGGGGAUGCUUCCUUCCUUGGACUUACAAGCCCUGACACACACAUGCUGGCAAAAUGCUUCUGCUUGACCCGUCUUGAAACACGGACCAAGGAGUCUAACAGAUGUGCAAAGUUUGAAGGUGGUAUACCUUUGUGUGCAAUGAAAGUGUCAGCUGGGAUAUGUGCACCAGCACCCAAUUAAUUAGCGGACAGAGGUUUGAGUUGGAGCAUAUCUAUUAGGACCCGAAAGAUGGUGAACUAUGCCUGAACAGAAUGAAUUCAGAGGAAACUCUGAUGGAGGUUCGUAUCGAUACUGACGUGCAAAUCGUUCGUCAUAUUUGGGUAUAGGGGCGAAAGACUAAUCGAACCAUCUAGUAGCUGGUUCCCUCCGAAGUUUCCCUCAGGAUAGCUGGAGUUGCUCAGUUUUAUCAGGUAAAGCGAAUGAUUAGAGGAAUUGGGGACAGGUUUGUCUUUGACCUAUUCUCAAACUUUAAAUGGGUAAUAUGUAGUGGUUGCUGUAUGGAACUUCUAAGAUAAAUGGCAAUAUUGGGUGGGCCAUUUUUGGUAAGCAGAACUGGCGAUGAGGG
rnacentral:rRNA from 1 species